rnacentral:rRNA from 1 species
CCCUUAGAUGUCCGGGGCCGCACGCGCGCUACACUGAAGGAAUCAGCGUGGCUUUCUCCCUGACCCGAAAGGGUUGGGAAACCCGUCGAAUCUCCUUCGUGAUAGGGAUUGGGGCUUGAAAUUGUUCCCCAUGAACGAGGAAUUCCCAGUAAGCGCGAGUCAUAAGCUCGCGUUGAUUACGUCCCUGCCCUUUGUACACACCGCCCGUCGCUACUACCGAUUGAACGGUUUAGUGAGGGCCUCGGAUUGGUCUCGGCCCGCUCUUUACCGGGCGGCGCCGUUGGUCGAGAAGACGCUCGAACUUGAUCGUUUAGAGGAAGUAAAAGUCGUAAC